UCUGUCCCUCUGCAGCAGUGCUAACCUCACCUGACUCCAGCACACAGUGUCCAGCAUACACUCGUUGAUCUACCACGAAGAUGGAGUGGAUAACUAGAGGGAUGAGUCUCUCCUUCCUGAUGCUUUCUCUCGUGUCUCUGUCAGUGCAGCAACAUGACUGGACAUAGACGCUUCUGUACAUUGACAAGAGAGGACAGUAGAAGUCAACAUUUCUAAUCCACGGAAUAAUUGACAGUAAAAUAUCACCAAAAUAUUUGUAACUAAACAUGAACCAUAAACAGAAUUUCCCUGUACUGAAUAAAAUAUUGGAUUUUUUGGAACACGA